AAAACUUUCAACAACGGAUCUCUUGGUUCUCGCAUCGAUGAAGAACGCAGCGAAAUGCGAUAAGUAUUGUGAAUUGCAGAUUUGUGAAUCAUCGAAUUUUUGAACGCACAUUGCGCCCUCUGGUAUUCCGGGGGGCAUGCCUGUUCGAGCGUCAU
rnacentral:rRNA from 3 species